AUUGAACGCUGGCGGCAUGCCUAACACAUGCAAGUCGAACGGCAGCACAGUGUGUAGCAAUACACAUGGGUGGCGAGUGGCGGACGGGUGAGUAAUGCGUAGGAAUCUGCCCUUAAGUGGGGGAUAGCCCGGAGAAAUCCGGAUUAAUACCGCAUGUGCUCUACGGAGCAAAGCGGGCCUCUGUUUCAAGCUCGCGCUUGAGGAUGAGCCUACGUCGGAUUAGCUAGUUGGUGGGGUAAAGGCCUACCAAGGCGACGAUCCGUAGCUGGUCUGAGAGGAUGACCAGCCACACUGGGACUGAGACACGGCCCAGACUCCUACGGGAGGCAGCAGUGGGGAAUAUUGGACAAUGGGCGAAAGCCUGAUCCAGCAAUGCCGCGUGUGUGAAGAAGGCCUGCGGGUUGUAAAGCACUUUUGUCGGGAAAGAAAAUCACAGGGUUAAUACCCCUGUGCCUUGACGGUACCCGAAGAAUAAGCACCGGCUAACUCCGUGCCAGCAGCCGCCGUAA
rnacentral:rRNA from 1 species